rnacentral:rRNA from 1 species
ACGGGAGGCAGCAGUGAGGAAUAUUGGUCAAUGGACGGAAGUCUGAACCAGCCAAGUCGCGUGCGGGAUGAAGGCCCUACGGGUCGUAAACCGCUUUUGUACGGGGAUAAAGUCACCCACGUGUGGGUGUUUGUAGGUACCGUAAGAAUAAGGAUCGGCUAACUCCGUGCCAGCAGCCGCGGUAAUACGGAGGAUCCGAGCGUUAUCCGGAUUUAUUGGGUUUAAAGGGAGCGUAGGCGGGUUUUUAAGCGUGUUGUGAAAUGUCGUGGCUCAACCUCGGCACUGCAGCGCGAACUGGAGACCUUGAGUGCGCCGGAAGUAGGCGGAAUUCGUCGUGUAGCGGUGAAAUGCUUAGAUAUGACGAAGAACUCCGAUUGCGAAGGCAGCUUACUGUCGCGUAACUGACGCUGAAGCUCGAAAGUGCGGGUAUCGAACAGGAUUAGAUACCCUGGUA